rnacentral:lncRNA from 1 species
CAAGUUCUUUCCCCAUCCAGUCCACCCGUUUUCAACCCCAAACGACACUGUUUAGAAACCAGUCGAUCUGGACCGUCUAGGAUAAUUGAUCGAACGACUAAUAAGUAAGGAAUUAAUAUAUAUUGGUCGGAGCCUCCCCACCCCCUCGUAUCAUCGUCUCCAUUGCCCCAAAUCAAACCUGCGUAGCGCCACCUUGAGCCGCCGGCCGGAAAUCACCUCCGCCGGCGACGAUCCUCCUUUCCCGGCUAAAAAUACACCAUAGAACCCCCCUUACCCUCCUCUUUCCAACCACCAAGUAGUUUCACUCAAAUCCCGGCAAAAACAUUCGAAUCUUCAAUCUAAGUUUUCCGUCGAGGACAACACUUUUCCCAAACUCGCCCAAAUUUACACCCUAGGUCCCUCUCCCCUUCCUUUACCCAAAUUCCUGGCUAAUUUCCUACAAAUCUGCCCAGAAUGUCUCGAAUAAUUAAUCAAAGGCUGGCCAAAAACCCUAAUUUCUCUAAAAUUUACCAAAUUAGUAGUACAUAAUCUCUCCAUCCUCCGUGUGAAGAAUCUACCCUUGGCGAGUUUCAAGUAUGACCAAGACCGCUCAAUUUUGAAUCAAAGAAGCGGUAUAAAUAUUCGAGUCAAACCGUGAGACUUCGUUUUCGUCUUUUCAUGUUCCUUCUACUUCUUCUGACUGAGAUAAUGAAUACCACUCUUAAUUUUCUGAUUAGUGUUGCUUUUGUAUAAUUUCAGUACUGAUUUGAUUUUCUUUAGUUUAGUGUAAUUUUGGUCUGAUUGUUGUUUUGUUCUGUUAGUUUAAAUGUUAAAUGUCAGUCUAACUAGGUCAAGCAAUCAAUUGUUAGUUUAAUUAGACUUCCUGUUAAUGCCGGUGUAUUUGCUUUCUUCUGAUGAUAAUAAUCUUCUCGUUUGGUUGUAAUUUAUUUGGGAUUAGUUGAGGUUCUACUACUUGAUUCUAUGUUAGUUGUUAGUUUAGUGAUUGAUUGGAUUAAUCUUGAUUAAUCGAUGGUUUAGAGUAUUUAAACCUGUUUGGAUAAAGUUGAUAGUUUAAUUAUGGUAGAAAAGGGUUGGGUUCAGUUGGGACUAGGUUAGUAAAUAUUAAAAUAUUGAAAGGAUAAUUAGAGUAAUUCAAAGGUAGAGAAUCUUUUAAAAAACUGAUGGAAUUCAUUAGAACACUCUAGAAUAGGAUCUAAUUUAGGAUGUUAGGAAGUUUAAUGUACUAACUUGUGACACAAGUUAACAAUAAAAUGACCAAACUGAAAAUAGUAAGGGACUGAGAUGCAAACAGGAAAUUGAGGGUUGCCCAUUAGAUUUGCCGAUAUAAAGGCAGCCUUCACUAUCUUGUGGAACAAGUUUUUCAGCCUAAAAAUUCCCCCCAAAUACUCCUCAAUCUCACAUAUCAAAAAAGUCAAAAUUUCAGAUCCAAAUUCCUUUAGACUUUAGCUUUCUUCAAAAGAAAAACCAAAAACAAUGGAAAAUCUCCAAAAAAAUCCAAAAAACAAAUUGUUACAUUGAUAAAUUUUUAGAUUCCAACUCUUAACUCAACUGGUUAUCUCAUUUUAAUAUCAGAAGUAGCUCGGAUCUCUUGACUGAUUUUUAGUGAUCGAGUUUUUAAAAAAUUUGCAAGUAGUUUGGGGUUUUAUCAAGUUGUUAUUGGUAUUUCUAAGCGCUGAGGGUAUGCUGAAGCUUCUAAGCUCGUUUUUUCGAGUCUAUUUGGGUUAUUCAAGUUAUUUUGAUUAUUUUCCCUGUUUCAUCCAAAGUUCGAGUAUCUACUGGGCCUUAUUGGUAUUAUUGUCAAGCUGGUUAUUGCUGAUUUGUGUUGUUGCUGAGAGUUAAUUCAUGCUGCUAAUCUCUUCUUCUUCAUUAUAUUUUCAUAUCCAGGUACUCGCUUGAAUCAACUUAACUUCAAAAUUAGAAUGAAGUGAAGUAGAAUUGCAGACCUAUGUUCAUGUGAAUACCUGUAGUUUUACUCAUUAAUGGUUUAGUUUUAGUUUGUUUGGAACUGUGUUGAAUUGAAGCCACUACUGGACAUUUCGGACUGUUUAAUCUCUGGUUAUUCAGUAUUAGCUUUAGCAUAGUAGAUAUUUCCUGAUUCUAUUAGCAUUGUUAUAUUAAAAACUAAAAAUAAAAAUUAUUUUGGACAAGUCUGUAUUGCAGUAGUUAACAGAUACUGAUGGAUAGAUAAUAGCUUAUUCUAUUUAUUAUAGUUGUUAUCUAGUCAGUUGUGAAUAAAGUGAGUCCAGGUUAUUAGAUUGUUUAUCUUAGUGAGGUAAUCAUGUGCUUAGUCUAAUCAUUUGAUUUUCACUUUUGCCAUACAAUUAGUUGUGAAAAUUGCUUAACAUGUUCCCGUUAUUAUUAAUGAAGUAAUUAAAAUUGCCUAGUUUAAUCAUUUACAUUCACCAUUAGUAGUAUUUAAUAGUUCACCUAUAGGCAAACUCUUGUUAAUAUAAACAAGUAAUGCAUUGCUCUUCCUUAUCUCCACUUAGUGAAUGCACAUUUAGAAUAAUUUGAAAUGAAUAUAGCAUAUCUUUGUCUUUGAUUGAGUUUACUUAUCAUUUGACUUUAAUGGACAGGGCUGUUGAUAGCCCAGUCUCCGAGAGUAUGGCCUCAAUUUGGGAAAAGCUCAUGACUUAUCUGGCUUAGGGAUUCGAUCCCUCAACCUCUCUCACGAGGUCUAACCAGCCUUGUUUGAUUUGGGUUUGUCUCAGGCUCGAUAUUUGUUUUAUGUGGAACUUUUGUUUGUUAUACAGGCCUCAAGUGGUUGGGCUAUUUGGGCCCAAGACCAAAGGGCAAUUGGUUUGGUAAUACUCAAAUGAUAGGCUGUGGGCUUUCCUUAAUAAUAACUGACUAGUUUUCUUUCGUUGUUGUAUUUAGAGACAAAUUGCAAUAGAAAAUUAUAGAUUUGGUUUAGGUUUGCCUUUUAAUAAUAAAAUGAGAUGAGAUGAGCCAAAUAAAAAUGCAAAAUUACGGGGCCCUCAAUAAAUAUUGUAUUAAUUUUUAGACUUCGGGAUGGGCAGUUUAGCGAAUAUCACGGCCUUCCCCAAAGAUAAUAACGCGUUAGUCACUUUAGGAGUGAUUAUCAAUAAAUUACAUUCUUAAACUCAGGUGUGCAUUUCAUGUGACUCAAAUCAAAUCCCAAAAUAUUGAAUUGAAUGUGUCCAGGAUUGUGGGUGCAUUUCAUGUGACGCGAUCCAAAGACAUGUUUUAAACAACGUUCAACUUUCUUUAAAAAAUUAAAUAAAAAGCGGUUAAAAGUUAAAAUCGGCACAUAGGUCCAUUAUGUAAUAAAAUCAGAUAACUAAGUUAAACACAACAGUUGAGCGACCGUGCUAGAACCACAAAUUCCGGGAAUGCCUAACACCCUCUUACGGGUUAACAAAAUUCCUUACUCGGAUUUCUGGUUCGCGGACUAUCAACAAAGUCAAUUUUUCUUAGUGCGGGAUUCAACCGGUGACUUGGGAUACCAUUAUUCUCCCAAGUGGCGACUGUAAAUCUUAAUAAUAAAUCUCAUUUUGAUUGUCCUUUAAUUGGAAAAACUCUUUUAUACCCUUGCGGGUGUAGUGAAAAAGGAGGUGUCACAACUUUGGCGACUCUGUUGGGGAAAAGAACCCAGAACA